UGGGGAAUAUUGGACAAUGGGCGAAAGCCUGAUCCAGCCAUGCCGCGUGAGUGACGAAGGCCUUAGGGUUGUAAAGCUCUUUUGGCGGGGAAGAUAAUGACGGUACCCGCAGAAUAAGCUCCGGCUAACUUCGUGCCAGCAGCCGCGGUAAUACGAAGGGAGCUAGCGUUGUUCGGAAUCACUGGGCGUAAAGCGCACGUAGGCGGAUUUGUCAGUCAGGGGUGAAAUCCCGGGGCUCAACCUCGGAACUGCCCUUGAUACAGCAAGUCUUGAGUUCGAGAGAGGUGGGUGGAAUUCCUAGUGUAGAGGUGAAAUUCGUAGAUAUUAGGAAGAACACCGGUGGCGAAGGCGGCCCACUGGCUCGAUACUGACGCUGAGGUGCGAAAGCGUGGGGAGCAAACAGGAUUAGAUACCCCGGUAGUCCCUGAGCGGGCUGGCAAGGCGCAU
rnacentral:rRNA from 1 species